rnacentral:rRNA from 1 species
GACGAACGCUGGCGGCGUGCUUAACACAUGCAAGUCGAGCGAGGGGCUUCGGCUCCUAGCGGCGAACGGGUGAGUAACACGUGGGCAACCUGCCCCGAGCUCUGGAAUAACCUCGGGAAACCGGGGCUAAUGCCGGAUAUGACAUUGCCGGGCAUCUGGUGGUGUGGAAAGAUUUAUCGGCUCGGGAUGGGCCCGCGGCCUAUCAGCUUGUUGGUGGGGUGAUGGCCUACCAAGGCGACGACGGGUAGCCGGCCUGAGAGGGCGACCGGCCACACUGGGACUGAGACACGGCCCAGACUCCUACGGGAGGCAGCAGUGGGGAAUAUUGCGCAAUGGGCGAAAGCCUGACGCAGCGACGCCGCGUGGGGGAUGACGGCC